GGGAAAGGCAAGCAAACAGGUUGUUACGUCACUCUGAGGGCAGAGAGGGGGCGAGCCACAGUGCGGAGGAAUUACGCUCCGGCUGCAGGCCGCUGUGGGAUUGGAGAAUCAGUUCUGUCAGUGGGACACACAGCCAAGUGGCCAUGGAAGGUUAUCUGGAUGGCUGUAGGUUGUGAAAGGCAGUAGCUUUCUAUGGCUCAUGGAGAUGAGUGUUUUUUUUUAAAUCAAAUUAGCAGACCAUCUUUGUGCUUAACUAUGACGCUCCCUGUGUGACAAGAGAGCUUUCCUGGGAGGCGAAGGGCCAUCUGAAGCGGCUCACUUCUUUGGAGCCUGGGAGAGCAGGUGUGGUUGUAGAAGGCUGACUGCCUUGCUGGACUCCCCCAAACCCAAAGAAAUGGUGUGCUUAUCUUCCAGAACAUCUUUCUGGCAGGACCUGUACAGCCAAGGUGUCCCAUGGCGACUCAGGGAUGUCUGUCCCUCUCCCUGCCCCAUCGAGGUCCCAGGGCUUGGUGUGUGGCUUCCUCGGUGCUGGCUCACUCAGAGGCAAUGGCACUGGUUCCGGAACACUUUUGGAAGGUCAACGGAGCAUUACUUGGGAGCCUUUCUCUGGCAGAUAAAAUAGCUCAGCCAUGUGGAGAGUAAGCAAACAGGUUUUGGAGUUAGAGAAAUAAGGAAGGGUGCUGGGGGGUGGCAGGCAGGAAGGCACUGAAUGCAAAACACUUGUCCUUGCCAAGAGUGAGUAUAAAGCUUAGUAACACACAUGAGCAGGUUCACUUUUAGGCCCUAAACCAGAGCUCCCAGCGAAAUACCCAAAGCUACACUGAGGUUGAAUUCAGGAAGGAGACUUUAUCUGUCAGUCAAGGCCUGUGCAUGUGCAUUUAGUCCCGCUAAGACUUUUAAAGGAGAUGGUUCCUUUGGGCAUUAUAAAGCCACACUUUCUACCUUAGCAAAAAUCUUUAUAAUUUCUUUGCUCAAAUGAUCACAGGCACUUAAUUUGCAAAGCAAACCAACACCCACGGCAGCAUAGUCCAGAAACCUCAGUACCAAGUCUGCUCUUGUAUUAACCUUGAAAUUACAAAUACGGAAGGAAGUUAUAUACAGAAAAUGGCCCCAGAGCAUGUCAGUGAUGGUUUUUGCUCACUUUGGAGAAUUAAAGUUGAAUUCAGUAUAAGAGGCUCCUGGGCUCUCCAAGCAACAAAUAGCCACUUACUAGCUGGGUAACCUCAGAACUUGGGCAUGGAAAUGGCACCUAAAUCAUACCUCCAGGCACACUGUAUAUGCUUAAUAUAUGGUAACUAUUAUUAUUAAUAAAUACAUACAACAAAUGCCCAUUAAAGGCAAACUAUGGAUUGAAAAUACCCUAGUAUGUUAUUCCGAGGGUUCACUUUACUCUUGGGGCAGGGAAGGUAGGGUCAGCGUAACCUCCUGGUAAAAACGAAUUAAAAAAUCCAGAACCUCUCUGGAGAGGAGAAUGUAGGGGCCACCCCAGAAUCCCAGGGCUUCUUAACAUCAAGGCAAAUAUUACAGUUAGGUGACGGUGGUGAUUUCCCUUCCCCAGAGAGCAGCCUCUCUCCCUCCUCUGACUUGCCUCGGAUGGGCCUGGGUGUGACCCUCAUCCUGCUGCCCAGAAUGGUGCCCUGUCCUCCUCAUGUUGUGUGCGGGUGGGAGGGCGUGGACGGUGCUGGACAAUUGUGCACCCAACAUAUCCUUACCCCACAGGUAAUACCUUGGCAGGAAAAAUUAAGAUCAAGAUCUACUGACAAAAAAAUGUUAGAAAAGAUUAUUUUUUUACAUUGAAAGUACAAAAAUCAAAUCCUGGACGCAUAAAGCAGGAUGAAGAGUUGGGUUUCCUCUCCCAUUCCAUCUGGUUCACGGCUUCCUAUUCUGGAGGGGCUGGGACUUUGGGCCCAAUGCAGAGCUGACCCAGGCCAGAAUGAGAGCUUCUAGAACAACACCCGAUGCAAUCUGAGAGGAUCCAGCCAAGCUCCCCUAGCGCAAGGUGACAUUUUUGAACCUGGACUGGGAAUCCAAGUUAUUCCCACGGGUUUAAAUUUUGUGGCUAUUAAAACUGUUGCUCUAAAGACAGAAGGUUCUCCACGCCAUGCCUGGCCACCUCGGGCUGCUUUCCGAGGGAGGCUUGCGAGCUCGCAGGCAGCUCACUGAAUCACACCCCUGCCGUCUUAUCUUGAAUGUGGAGUUCUCCAGGGUGAGAUUAGGUUGUUCAAAUUAGAAACUGGGAUUAGCCAGAGAGAGGCUAUCUUCCAGAAUGAUUUCCUUUUCUUUUUGCUGCCCAGACUUACUGAUUUCUGAAGCCGUAUCUGGGCAGCUGCAACGAUGCCCGGCUUCCUCCCUAAGCGGGAAGUGCAUACGAUUAAUCAGGAGGGCUGCGCCUUUAUCUCAGAGUGCAGCUAGAUAGCUGGUAAAGGCCUCACUCUCCAAUUUUCUUCUGAGUAAACAGGCCGUGUGUAAAGCCGUUCAAUCUUUCAUGAGAAUUGCAGCCAGAAACGUGGUGGUUUGCUGGAGGCUCUCAAGGCUGUGUCUGCCUGGAAACAUUUUUGCAAUUAGCCCAGUCCAUUUUCAUCAGGGGUCAUCUUUCUGUCUAUAAAAGACUUAGGCUUUUAGUUUUGAAGGAGCAUAUGAUGGAGGCCUUUGUUAAUGGGACAAAAUCUCCUCACUGAAUUUAACUUUAAGCUAAUGCAGCUUUGGGUACUUUGUUUAAAAAUUUUGGUUUGAGGCUAGAUUUGCUUCUACUUUAAAAUAUGCCCCGAGACUCUUGCUCAUAAACACUCCGAUUGACAACUGUUUUGCAUUCACGAUCUUAUUCCUCUCCUCUGGGGAAGGAGGAGGCGAUGCUUUUGAAUGAAAGCCCUCCUGUCUAAUGUUCUCCUGUAUAAAGGCCAUGGCCCUGGAAUGUCUCCAGCUUAAUCUAGCAGUUGACCUCAACAAGGUCCCCAUGGCUCCAUCCCUAAUUCAUUCCAUUUCGGGCUCUGCAUUAUCUGCCCAGGGCCUGGCUGCCAGGGAGCAAAGCACCUGAUAACUAUUACCGGUUCACAGCAACAUGCUUAGGCAUCUUCUGAACUUCUCUCAGGCCAAAGUCAUGAACCCAGUUGGUGCUCUACAAAUGCUUGCUGUUACUGGCCCUAGUGCUUACUUCAGGAUGUGGCAACUUGGACCACGGGAGAAGAGCAGACCUUCCAGACAUGGUCACUAACGAUAACGUGAAAGGAAAAUGUGGACUCUCAUGGGUUGAAACAUUUUGAUGUAUAUCCAGAAAAAGGCAUUUGGAACAGAGAUUUCAGGGCACUAGGUGGGGCAUGCUGCUACCGACGACUUCACUGACUGUGAGCCCCGGGGGCUGUGUGCACCCCGUGACCGAGGGGCAGGUGAAAGGGAGGCGAGGCGGAUGACCUGAUGUAAAAUUCAGCGAAACACACCGCAGUGAGGGUCUCAGCCCCGAAGGUAACGGGCGUCUGGCCCAUCACCGGGAAGUCCGCCGUUUUUAGUCAAGUGACAACUUGCUCCAGCAAAAGAACGGUUCUUCCCGGUUUUAAGGAAUAUUAGUAAACUGGCUGGUUAUUGGCUUUUGCUCAAGGACUUGUCCCGGGGCCACAUCGUCCCAGAGGCACACCCACGGGGCCAGGCUGAGGAAGGGUGCGUCGCAGUCCUCUCUGCCUGCAGAGCGGGGACCCCAGGCUGCGGGUCCUCCAGCCACUGGCCGAGGAGCCCGGCCCCAUCCUGACCCUACCAGGCCAGCAACCGCCACGCAGUGCCACCCGGUGACCCCCAGGGAGAUGCCCAGCCUCUCGGAUCCAGCCAAAGGUGAGCGACUAGGCAGAGGAGUGGUGCGCGCAGCAGGGGACCCGCUGAGGAGGCCCCACGGGAGGCUCUCACACCGAGGGGGGUGCGCAG